rnacentral:rRNA from 1 species
CAAUAGCGUAUAUUAAAGUUGUUGCAGUUAAAAAGCUCGUAGUUGGAUUUGUGGCGUACGGUGUGUUCCGGGCACUUGUUGUCUGAGUAACCUGCUGUUGCCAUCCUUGGGUGGAACCUGUGUGGCAUUAGGUUGUCGUGCAGGGGAUGCCCAUCAUUUACUGUGAAAAAAUUAGAGUGUUCAAAGCAGGCUUAUGCCGUUGAAUAUAUUAGCAUGGAAUAAUGAGAUAGGACUUUUUUGCUAUUUUGUUGGUUUGCGCAAAGAGGUAAUGAUUAAUAGGGACAGUUGGGGGUAUUCGUAUUCCAUUGUCAGAGGUGAAAUUCUUGGAUUUUUGGAAGACUAACUACUGCGAAAGCAUUUACCAAGGAUGUUUUCAUUAA